AUGGCGCCUCGCGCGUCGGAUUCUAGGGGCUCUUCCAUCGCAGCCAUGGAGGCCGGCUCCGGUGCCCACAUCAAGCUCCCCGGCAGGGGCCAGCUCCUCCCCGGCACCGGCCGUCGCGUCGUCUUCCUCUCUGGCCCCUUCCGCGCCGUCAUGGACGCCACCGAGCUAGCCCUCGGCCUCGUCUCCGGGUGUAGGCUGAAGCAGCAAGUCUACUCUAGUUGCUUAUUGCUUAGUGGCUUCUUGGAUAAGAUCAAGCACUCAUUGGGGCCUCUACCACAAAUUCACCUGCCCAACUCCGCAAGGAAGGAGCAGCGGCGGGGCUGGAGAAGCACCGGCGACCCUGGGUCGGGAAGGAGCAGCGACGGGGGAGGAGAAGCAUCAGCGACCCUGGGCGGAGGAUCUGCUCGAGUUGGCUGA
rnacentral:rRNA from 1 species